UUGGAGUUAAUGGAGUCAGAAGGACCCCAAGAUUCAGAGAGUUCAGAAAAAUCAGCAUUUUUCUCACAGCAUGAAGAAGAGGAAGAAGGUGAAGAUGAAGAAGCAGCCAGAGAACCAGAGGAAACAGGCACCAUUAAUCCCCUAUUACAGCCUGCUCUCACAGGGGAUGUAGAAGGUUUGCAGAUGAUUUUUGAGGAUCCUGAGAACCCUCAUCAUGAACAGGCCAUGCAGCUACUCUUGGAAGAAGAUAUCGUUGGCAGAAAUUUGUUGUAUGCAGCUUGCAUGGCUGGGCAAAGUGAUGUGAUUAGAGCUUUGGCAAAAUAUGGUGUGAAUCUGAAUGAAAAAACGGCCAGAGGUUAUACACUCUUACACUGUGCUGCAGCCUGGGGUCGUUUGGAAACUUUGAAAGCACUGGUGGAAUUGGAUGUUGAUAUAGAAGCUCUGAACUUCCGGGAAGAAAGAGCUCGAGAUGUUGCUGCUCGGUAUUCCCAGACUGAGUGUGUUGAAUUCCUGGACUGGGCAGAUGCAAGGCUGGCUCUGAAGAAAUAUAUUGCGAAGGCCUCUGCAGCUGUUACAGACACAGAAAAGGGACCAGGGAAGCUCUUUAAGGAAGACAAGAAUACCGUCCUCAAUGCAUGCCGUGUAAGAAAUGAGUGGUUGGAAACCCAUUUGGAAGCUUCAAUUAAUGAGAUUUUUGAGCAGAAGCAACAGUUGGAAGAUAUUGUGACUCCUAUCUUGACAAAAAUGGGUACACCACGUCAAACAAAAGGUUCCAAAGCUGUCGUCUAAGCCUUGGUGAGAAAAGAAGUCAAGAUCAUACCUUCUACUGAACAGAUAUUUUAUAAAAGGCUGCAUUUUCUUCUAGGAUUUGUAAAGGCAAACCCAUUCAUGCCAGUUGAAGAAAAUAGAUGUGGAGUUUUAUAAAAAUAGCAUGUGGUCCUGGCCAUUAGAGAAGGAUUCCUGAAUCUCACCUCAAAGUUUCCUAGAUCAUAACAGGUGAUACCUAAUUCCCUUGAGAUGCUCGCUCUUGGAAACCAGCUUGUGGAGAGACUCACGUGGACAGGAACUGAGGCUCCAGCCCAUAGCCCGUGCUGAGCUCCAGCCAGCAGUCAUCCCCAACUUGCCAGCCAUAUGAGUGAGCCAUCUUGGAAAUGGAUCCUCCAGUCGAGCCACCACAGCUGAUGCUGUAUGGAGCAGACACAGCCUUCUCUGUUGAGCCUUGCCAAAAUUGUAGAUUUCACCUAAAUAAAUGAUUGUUGUUGUUUUAA